AUGGGGCUCAGCACUGGUGGACAGACGGAGGCCACGAAUGUUGAGAAAGCCUUAGUAGGUGGGAACUUGCCAGAGGUGGCCUCUGCCAUCAACGAGACUCUGAAGAUAGUGUCCAGGACACCAGUCAACAUUGCUAUGGCAGGGACUCUGGCAGUGGGAUGAACACCUUCAUCAGUGCCCUUUGAAACACAGGACAUGAGGGGAAGCCCUCACCUCCUACUGGGCUGGUAAAAGCUACCCAAAGAUGUGCCCCUUAUUUAUCUUCCCACUUUCCAAAUAUGGUGCUGUGGGACCUGCCUGGCACAGGGUCUGCCACCAAAACCCUGGAGAACUACCUCAUGGAAAUGCAGUUCAACCAGUAUGACUUCAUCAUGGUUGCAUCUGCACAAUUCAGCAUGAAUCAUGUGAUGCUUGCCAAAACCACUGAGGACAUGGGAAAGAAGUUCUACAUUGUCUGGACCAAGCUGGACAUGGACCUCAGCACAGGUGCCCUCCCAGAAGUGCAGCUACUGCGGAUCAGAGAAAAUGUCCUGGAAAAUCUCCAGAAGGAACAGCUGGCCUGCCGUGAGACAUACCUCAAGAGUACUCCAGAGAAUUCCACAAGGCCCAGAAAUAUGUAGGCAUUUAGGAACUUUCUACAGUGAAAAUACACAAUGAACAGAGGAUAGAAGCAACAGCUAAGAUCACUUUUUAUAAACUGUACAGUGUGGGUCACGGCUCAUUGUGAUGAGGCAGGCCAAGGCAUGAGAUUGCAAAGAAAGAGCCCAAGGUAAAAUUCAAGGGUACACUUACUUCUUAGGGUGGCUUCUCCAGCUGAGUACCAGAUAAAAAGAUAGCUUGUGUUGAAGCAGUAUAUUGUAAGACUAAGGUGUGUCUUAAACUCAGGAAUUACCCUCAGAACGAAGAGCUGCUCAUAAUGAGAGCAGCAGGCAAGACCUAAGACUUGUUGAGGGAUCAGCAGGCUCUAGUCUCCUACUUUCUUCCCUAUGUAAGGUAUGUGCUUGCUAGUGGAUGGGUGGGCAAACUGGAGUUAUCUGAACCAUUAAAAUUCCCCUCUUUGGAUUUAUAAUUGAAUAUACAUUAAUUAAAUAGUUUUGUAUGACUCCAUUGUCAUUAUUUGUAUAAUUGUUUAUUUAAGCUUAGAACAGUCAGUCAAUUGUGGUGGGAGAUAUGAACAGCUUUUUAUCCACUUGAAAAUGCCAAAUUGUUUUCUACAUAUUCCUAAAGUGAAGGUCCCCAGCAUGUGUAGCAAGUGUCCUGUU